rnacentral:snRNA from 1 species
AUGCUCUAUUCAGCAGCACAUAUACUAAUAUUAGAAUGAUAACAGAGAAUAUUAGCAUGGCACCUGUGCAAGGAUGACACACAAAUUCAUUAAGUUAUUAUU